rfam:Dictyocaulus viviparus strain HannoverDv2000 D_viviparus-1.0_Cont16318.1, whole genome shotgun sequence.
GCCUCGGUAGUGUAAUGGAUCAGCACGGCAGACAGGAUAUCUGUAAGGGCGGGUUCGAGUCCCGCCUCAGGUU